rnacentral:lncRNA from 1 species
CUCACGUGAUUGCCACAAAAUUAUUGAUACACACUUCACAAUUAGAAGAGGGGACAACACGGUUUGUGGGGAGGGUUUUUCUUUCUCCCCAAGACAUUUUGGGAUAAAUAUCACCCCAUCACUCCAAACGAAGGAGGUCACGAAACAGAGGGAGUGAAAACGAGCGAGGAACAGAAUAGAAAAAAAUAGAGUGAGAGGGGAAUUGGGCGGAAUUAGAGAAAUAUAUGAAGGGACGGUGAGGAGAACGGACAGAGUUCAAGAGGAGAGAGCGGAAAAACCGAGUAUUGGAAAUUCCCUAGAGCUGUAGACUCUCAUCCUCACCGUAACUAAUUAUGUUUUUCCUUCUCAAUCCAGCUUCUCCAUAAAAAAUCAUCAUUAAAUAAACACCAUCCAACUACAACUAGUAAAUCUCAUAAAAACCCAGUAACACCACCUUGAAUAAAGAUUGGUAACCAUUAUUUCCCCCACCGCCAUGUGAAUCACCUACAACACCAGCAUCUUUCCCCUUCAUUGUUAGCUAGCCAAAUCCUUUGAGUUGAAACUUGGGGUAUUCAGAUCUAAAAAAAAGAAGUCGAGUCAGUUGAAGUCUUUCGUUAGAGGUUCUGGCCGCCGGUUCUAUUUGUUUGCCACGAGGUUCAAUACAUUUGGUUGAUUUUCUAAAGAGAUUUUCAGCAGCUUCAUAAGGUCUGCUCUCAUCUUACUUUUGUUGAUUUAUUUUUCAAUAAUUUAGUGUUGAAAUUGCUUGUUAUUAAUUCUCUGUUGAAUUUCGUGUUAGAUUAAAAUGUGAAAAUGCUUCUGCUUGUUUGUUUUAGUUUUAAUAUAAGAUGAAGAGGGUUAAAUUACAGCAACUCAUUUGAAUUUAAGUGUUUAGAUGCUAUUCUAAAAUAAAGAAUAUUAGUUAGAGUAUAUUGGAAAUAAAAUGACGUAAAGCAUUGAUGCAAAAUUUUAGAGUAACAAGGUGUGUCGUGGGGUUCGGGAAUUAAAAAGUAAAAAUUAAUUUAUUAAUUUGAUCGCUAGGAGCAUAUUUAGGUCGUAACUUGGCUAGGCAAAUCUUAGGUUUUCUUUAUUUUAUUUUUAUUCGAGGCGAGAGGUCGUUCCCUUUAGUUCAUAUUUAGGGAAAUGCCCUGUAGACUUUGUAUAUAUUUUUAUCCGGGGUAUGCCCCGUAGUAUCAUGUAUUUGGAGGCCGUGACAAACCUCAUGGAAAAGUAUAGUAUAUAUUAGUAUUUAGGAUUUUACUUUACUUUUCUUUUUCUAUUUUUUUUAUUAGGUGGGGACGACCUCGAUCCUUUCUUGUGUUUACUUUCCUUUUUCUGUGUUUUAACCUCAAUUUGAAUAUUUUAAAAGCUAACUGGAUCAUAUAUACAAUCGUGAUUUUCACGGGACUCGGGGAAUGUCUAACACCUUCUUCCCAAAUUAAAUGAACCCCCUUAUCUAGAAUCUCUAGUGCAGACUAUGUUUUAGAGUCUAAAUGUGUUUUCAAAAGGAAAAUCAUUUUUUAACGGUGACCUGGUACACCGAAAUCAAAUGUCAGGUGGCGACUCUGAAAAUCCUUUGAAACACAUCUUUUGUCACUUUCUAAUUGAAAAUCCUUUUGAGCUUCAAAAAUCCUUUUAUCUAUUUUUAAAAGGUAUUGAGUGUGAAAAAAGGGGUGUGACACCCCCUAGGCGAAAAAGUUCUACUUGGGUUAAGCUACGUAAAGCAAGCCUGGGCGAAGAGUACUUCUACCCGAAACUAUGAGCUGAAUCCCCCUAGGUAAAAAGUUUCUACAUGGGUUAAGCUACGAAAAUGGGAGGUAUGAACAGUAGUGAUGCAUGCUGCAAAUAAACAAAAAUGGAGAUUUUAAGGAGCUUAUAUUUGAUGAUAUUCGUCCUUUGAGAAUCGCCAUUCUGCACUGCUUUGAUCCUGUUUCAAACAAAGAAAAAUUUGUGAGUUUUUAAAGUGUUGGUCGGUUUGUGGCCUUGAUGUCCUGAGUUGUUUGAAUUCACAGCCACUCUGCUGUCGAAGAACUGAUUUUGUCAGUGUGGUACCGAGGUUCUCGGCUACUCUGUAUCGCUUUCUGGAGACAUUGUCUUUCUGACGUUGCCCCUGGCUGUUUCAUACCCAGAUGUCCAUGGUACCGCUAAUCCUUAUGCCUAAGGCAAGGCAAUUUUCCUUUAAAAUCAAACUUAGUUGUCUAAACAAAAGGUGUCCCUUUCGGGGAGAGGAAUAUGGAGACUUAUCUGGAGGCGUGUGCCGACUUCAAUUAAUCAUAACAUGCAUUUUGGACUGGACACCUGAUCCAUCUGAGCUCUCUAUUUCUCAAAAUCUGUCGCAAAUGUUCAUCUUAAAACUGUUUUGGUUGUGCUCAUGCCAGAGCAUCAAAGACCCUUAUUCGGCUAGUAGCGCCCUUUGCGGGUUUCGCUAACUAACCUCUCUCAUUUCUCUACUCAUCGUCGCCUUACAGUGCCUAUACGAGUUUUCACCGAUAAGACUCUCAUUUCUUUUUUUCUUUUCUUUUCUUUCUUUUUUUCUUUUUUUGACUAAGAUACUGUAUGCGGAAGGUUGCCCAACGCUCUUGGCAUGGGGACUUCAAACAUUCUCAAAGAUCGAUCAGAAGUUCCUAAUAGGGAAAAGGCAAAAAGAACCUUGAACUGAAUUACAACUUUUGUAGUCGGUUUUAUAGGAAAAAUCGUAAAAUAAAACAAAUUUCUGCCCCAGUUUUGGAGUAUUGGGAAUAUGGAUUUUUAUUGUGAUGUGACCGAACCCAGGGUAAGGCUGCUUACGUAUCCUUUCGGAAUCAGGUCGGACGUAGUUCAAUGAACUCAGAAGGUUUGUUAUUUGAUCCUUUUUUUCUUUUUUUUAAAAACAAGUACAUGGUUCCAAAAUAGGGAAAACGAAGAAGACAAAUACGACUCAAAAGGUUUAACAAAAUGUUGACACCUAUUUGGGAUAGAGGCCAAUAAUAACGUUCGUCAUUUCGAUCUGAGAAAAUAAUGCGUGAAAGUUCUGCAGUGGGUAUAUAUCAAAUAUAAUAUCUUUUGACUGCAUCUGCGUUAAUCGUCAUGUCUGGUACCCGUUCUUCUUCAUCAACCAAGUGCAAGGCCCCUUUUGGAAACACUUUCUUGAUGAUGUAAGGUCCUUGCCAGUUCGCGGCGAACUUUCCUUUAGCUUUUACUUGGUGUGGAAGAAUGCGUUUCAAAAUGAUUUGGCCUACCUCAAAGUGUUGUGGACACACUUUCUUAUUGUAAGCGCGUGCCAUUCUUUGCUGGUAUAAUUGGCCAAAAUAUAUUGCUGCUAGUCGUUUUUCAUCAAUCAGCAUCAGCUAUUCCAAAUGGGUCUUUACCCAUUAUGUAUCUUCAAUCUCCGAUUCCACAAUGAUCCAGAGAGAGGGAAUUUCAAAUUCGACCGGUAUUACAGCUUCCGUUCUGUAUACCAGUACAUAAGGAGUUGCACCAAUAGAUAUGCGAGCAGUCGUGUGGUAUCCCAAAAGAGCAAAAGGCAAAAUUUCAUGCCAUUGUCGGGAACCUUGGAUCAUGUUUCUAAGAAUCUUCUUGAUGUUCAUGUUUGCCGCUUCAACGGCUCUAUUGGCUUUAGGCCGGUAAGGGGUAGAAUGGUGAUGUACAAUGUUAAAUUGCUUGCAUACCUCCUUCAUCAAAUGUCUAUUUAGAUUGGCUGUAUUGUUAGUGAUAAUGGUCUUUGGAAUACCAAAGCGACAGAUGAUGAUGGAAUGAACGAAGUCUACCACUGCUUUCUUGGUGACUGCUUUGAAAGUGACGGCCUCCAUCCACUUUGUGAAGUAAUAAAUUGCAACCAAAAUGAAUCUAUGCCCAUUUGAAGCCUUUGGCUCGAUUGGCCCAAUAACAUCCAUUCCCCAAGCAACUAAAGGCCAAGGAGAGGAUAUGGGAUGCAACUCCGAAGGAGGCGAGUGGAUCAGGUCACCAUGAAUUUGGCAUUGGUGACUCUUGCGAACAAAACUGAAGCAAUCUCGCUCCAUUGUAAGACAAUAAUACCCUGCCUGUAGAAUCUUCUUCGCCAAAACAUAUCCAUUCAUGUGAGGUCUGCAUACCCCCGAAUGCACUUCACUUAUGAUCCGCUCAGCUUCUGUGGCAUCUACGUAUCUCAACAAGUUCAAAUCUGGGGUCCUUUUGUACAAAAUUUCCCCAUUCAGGAAGAAACUGCCGGCGAGCCGCCUUAUAAUUCUUUUUUGAUCUCCCUUGGCAUGCUUUGGGUAUUCUCUUUUUUUCAGGAAUCAUUUUAUGUCAUGAUACCAUGGUUCACCAUCUGGUUCUGUCUCAAUUGUAUUACAGUAACCGUGUUGAUUCCGAACUUGGAUUUCUAGUGGAUCGAUAUGAGUGUUGCCCGGAUAAGGGAGCAUUGAGGCUAAAGUAGCCAAAGCAUCGGCUAGCUCAUUAUGAAACCGAGGAAUGCACCUGAAUUUGAUGGAUUUGAAUCUUUUGCUCAGGUCUUGUACACAUUGUCUGUAUAGAAUAAACUUGAUGUCUCGAGUCUCCUAAUCGCCUUGGGCUUUCCGGAUAAGCAGGUCGGAAUCUCCCAUAACCAAUAGUUCAUGCACAUCUAGAUCGAGGGCCAUUUUCAAACCCAUGAUACAAGCUUCGUAUUCUGCCGUAUUAUUGGUACAGAAGAACCGAAGUCAGGCCGUUGCAGGGUAAUGCUGUCCAAUAGAUGAGAUGAGGAUUGGCUCGAUCCCAACUCCUUUGAUAUUGACAGCACCAUCAAAAUACAUUUUCCAUACAGGGUUAUCGUCCGGAACUACUUCCUCUAUUGAGUUGACCUCUUCGUCUGGGAAGUAUGUGCUAAGUGGUUUGUAAUCAUCAUCAAUUGGAUUUUCUGCCAAAUGAUCGGCCAAAGCCUAUGCUUUAAUCGCGGUGCGAGUGACGUAUGAUGUCAAACUCUGUGAGCAGGAUUUGCCAUUUUGCGAGCCUGCCAGUGGGCAUUGGCUUUUGGAAGGUGUACUUCAGAGGAUCCAUUCUGGAUAUGAGGUAAGUAGUGUAGUCCAAAAUAUAAUGUCUCAACUUCUGAGCGACCCAAGUCAAGGCACAACAUGUCCUUUUUAAAAGGGUGUACUUAACCUCAUAAUUGGUGAACUUCUUGCUCAAAUAAUAGAUUGCCUGUUGCAUCAUGUUGCCCCAGAACGCAUCCAAAGGAAUUAUCCAUCACCGAUAGAUAUAAAAACAAAGGCCUACCAGGUUCAGGUGGGACCAGUAUAGGGGGUUUUGACAGAUAAUAGUUUAUCCUGUCAAAAGUAUUUUGGCAAUCGUCCGUCCACUUGGUAGAAACAUCCUUUUUCAGAAACUUAAAAAUGGGCUCACACGUGGUUGUGAGCUGAGCAAUGAACCUACUGAUGUAGUUCAACCUCCCAAGCAAACUCAUGACUUCCUUUUUGUUCUUCGGGGGUGGAAGAUCUCGAAUGGACUUUAUCUUAGAUGGAUCCAAUUCGAUGUCUCUCCAGCUGACUGUAAAACCGAGGAGUUUCCCAGAUGGAACCCUAAAUGCACAGUUGGAUAGAUUAAGCUUAAGGUCAUAUCUUCGAAGUUGUUCAAAGAACUUUUCCAAAUCGCGCACGUGAUCAGCCUGUGUCUUUGAUUUUAUGAUGACAUCAUCGACAUAUACUUCAAUCUCGUUGUGCAUCAUGUCGUGAAAAAUGGUAGUCAUGGCCCUCAUGUAAGUUGCCCCUGCAUUAUUCAAACUGAAUGGCAUGAUCUUGUAACAAUAAGUACCCCAUGGAGUGGUGAAAAUGGUCUUUUCUGCGUCAUCCUCAUUCAUUAGAAUCUGGUGGUACCCAUCAUAGCAAUCCACGAACGACUGUAUCUCAUGCUUUGCGCCAUUAUCUACAAGAAUGUGGAUGUUUGGCAAAGGAAAAUUAUCCUUCGGACUUGCUUUGUUCAGGUCUCUGUAGUCAACACAGACUCUAGUUUUUCCUUCCUUCUUUGGCACAGGCAUAACAUUUGCCACCCAGGUGGUGUAUUGGACAGCUUUGACCACAUUGGCGCUUAGUUGCUUCAUUAUUUCCUCUUUGAUAUUGUCACUCAUGUCCGUUUUAAAUUUUCGUUGCUUUUGUUGGAGUGGUGGAAAAUCAGGAUACGUGAGAAGCUUAUGAACCACUAGAUCAGCACUUAAACCCGGCAUAUCAUCAUAAGACCAAGAAAACAUAUCUUUGUAUUCAAAUAAAAUUUGAAUCAAGGAAUCUCUGGUUUUUUGUUCAGUGUGAAUGCUUAUCUUUGUUUCUCUAACUUCUUCCUGACUUCCGAUAUUAAUUGGCGCAGUUUCAUUGAGGCUGGGCUUAGACUUGUUUUCAAAUUGUUCCAACUCUCUUUUUAUUUCCUCAACAGCCUCAUCUUCAUCAUACUCAACCUCUUGAUGCAUUAUUUCGAAAUUAGACAGCUUUUUAACAUCCGAGCGUGAAUUCUGCAUGCAUGUCAUGUUAUUAAAGCCGGCAUUAACAAAACUGAAAUGGAAACAAAAUGACAAGAAUUAGGAGAAGGAAAAGAUACAAAACUUAAUACGAAACUGAACUACAUUUCAUUGAAUUUGAAAGUAUAGAAAGGUUAACAACAAAAACAAUCAUACUGAGAUGUUUGGAUUACAACCCUGGAAGUAACCCAAAGUACAAAAAAGAAGGUGCAAAAGCAAACUACCAAGACUCCUUCCUUGUGGGGAGAGUAGUUGCUUUCCAGUUGUUGAGCAUAGUGUCUGGGCCAAUUAGUUGCAUAUCGGCACGACUAGUGCCUUCACCAGCAUGGAUCAUAUUCACUUCAGAAAAUAUCCGGCUGAGGCCAUGGCAAAUUUCAUCAAUGUUUGCAUGCGCCGAGGAACUUUGACCCUCUUUGAGUCGUGGCUUGACAAAAGUGUGGAAAAUGUGAGAGAUAGGUUGCUGCAAGACCCACCCAUGCUUUUGGCGGUGCUUGGCUUUGUCUUCGUCUGUUUGUGUUGGCCUGAAGCCUAAACCAAAAGUACCCUUAUUACUGAACGGAGAAAUGUGUUCUGAAAUUCCUUGCAAUGAUGCCCCUAAGCCUUUUCCUGGCUCAUAACCUUGUCUCAUCAUUAGUGCAGCCACCAUUACAGAUGUGGCAGAGAGACGAGGAUGCAGAAUGGGCUUUCCUUCCUCAACAUGGUCUACAAUAAUCACUUCGAAAGCCUGAUAGACAAUAGACUCACAUCCUUCCUUGGCCUCAAUACACGGAAUUAACGGGUCUUUAUAAAUGGAUGACUCGUCUUCUCCGUGAACAAUAAUUUCUUGCCUGUCGUAUUCGAAUUUGAGCAUCUGAUGCAAGGUGGAUGGCACAACCCGGGCCGUAUGGAUCUAUGGACUUCCGAGAAGAAAGUUAUAAGAAGUUUCCAUGUCCACUACCUGGAAGACAAUUUCAAAAUCAACCAGGGUAAUCGUCAUGGUGAGGUUGAUCUCCCCAAUGGUAUCUUUCGCUGAGCCAUCAAAAGCCUGGAUGCGAACAUUGCUGGGUCGGAUUCUGUCUGUGUUGAUCUUCAUGCUUUGCAAGGUAGAGAGAGGGCAUACAUCUACACUCGAGCCUCCAUCAACCAUGACUCGCUUUACAUAAUGCCCAUCACAUUCGACAAUAUGGUGCAAAGCCCUAUUGUGCCCGGCUCCCUCCUCGGGAAGUUCAUCAUCAGUAAAGGAGAUUUUAUUCACCUCAAAAAAUCUGUUGGUCAUCUUCUCUAACUGAUUCACGGUGGUCUUCUCUGAGACAUGUGCCUCGUUCAGGAUUUUGAUUAGUACACGAGCAUUUUCUUCUGAGUGUAUGAGCAAAGAUAACAGAGAGAUUUGGGCAGGAGUCUUUCUCAACUGGUCAAUGAUUGAGUAAUCCUGAACAUUCAUCUUUUUCAAAAACUCCUCCGACUCUUCUUCCGUGACCGGUUUCUUUAUUGGCAUUUGGCCUUCUUUGAUUUGCUUGGCCUUCCUCAACUCUUCUGGAGAGUAACACCUCCCCGAUCGAGUCAAACCUCCAGUUUCCCCCACUUCUUUAUGAUUUCCUUACCUUUGUAGGUUACCACAGUUUUGUUGUAGUUCCAAGGAAUGAUUUUCGUGUUUGUCACACAGGGUUGUAUGGCAGACUUGAUUAUGGUCGGCUGUGUUAUACCCUUCAUACCACCCUGAUUCUGAUUUGUGAUUGGGUGACCUCCACGGACAUACAACUUUGGGCUUGGAACAUUGGAGCGAACUUCCAACCUCAAGAUUUUUGGAACAAAUAAAGUUGCCUUCCCUGAGCUUUGGGCGCCUUUCACAAUCAAUGGCACAUCUCGGCUUGGACUUACUUCCAGUCCUAUUCCUUCUUGAAUCGCUCCCACUGUAAUUUAUGCUCGGCCAAUCGACUUGUAUUCUUGAUCUCGGCCGAUCAUUCCCACAAAAUGAAAAUCGUUGUGUGCUGGCAGUGGGUUAUUCGUAACAUUAGGAGGGUCUUCGCUAUUUGUUACCACAAUCAACCUUUCCGCGAUGAGUCUUUCUAUGUCUCUUUUCAGAGUCCAACAGUCAUUAGUGUUAUGCCCUGGGGGUACCUGAAUGAUAUUCAUAUAUAGCAUUUUCUUGAAAUCCAUGUGAAUCGGGAUGCAUAUGGUGGGGAGCAAUGGGUCCAAUCACACCCAUCUGAUUUAGCUUCUGAAAUAGACUAGAGUAUGAUUCAGCUAAUGGAGUGAAUUUUUCCACCGUCCUCUACUCUCGACCAUAAUUCUGCCUGGGACGAGCAUUGUAGGGUGCUCAAAAAUUUUGCUGCUGAGGUCGGGGGAUCCUUGGAGCUGGUGCCCGUACCUGUUGAUUGGGAGGCCGAGCAAAUGAUUGAGCAUUAAAUACUGUAUACUGUGGUGGGCCCACAGAGUAUUUUGUAAUUGGCGGGGGAUAAUAAUGUUGAGGGUAGCUGGAUUGCCCCUGCUGAACUUGCGCCUCAGGGUGAGAUGCCCCUAUUUGAACUUCCCUGGAUCCCGAAGUCAUCAUGGACCCUUCAUCCCUCUUCUUUCUAUUUGCCAAACUUCCCGACCCAUUUUGGAUAGCUUGGGUGGUGGCUUUGAGAGCCACUUGACUUACAAUUCUGCCAGUCUUGAGGCCAUUUUAGACCGUCUCUCCUAUUUUGAUCGCUUCUGCAAAAGGUCUACCCAUGCGGACAUCAUGUUUUCAAAGUAAUCAGGCUUUUGAGCCUCCAGAAAAAUACUAAUUAACUCGUGGUAAUCCAUGGGUGGCUUAACUCUAGCCGCUUGCUCCCUCCACUUGAUUGCAUACUCCCUAAAGCUUUCAGUCGGCUUUUUCUUCAUAUUGGACAGGGAAUUGCAAUCCGACGCAAUAUCAAUGUUGUAUUGAAAUUGUUUGAUGAAGGCCUGGGCCAUGUCGUCCCAGACAUACCAGUGAGAGAUAUCUUGGUCAAUGAACCAUUCGGAGGUUACCCCUACAAGACUUUUCCCAAAAUAAGACAUCAGCAAUUCUUCUUUUCCCCUGUACCCAUCAGCUGGUUGCAAUACCUUUUCAAGUGAGCGAUAGGGUCACCGUGUCCAUCAUACUUCUCAAAUUUUGGGGUCUUAAACCCUGGUGGCAAAUGGAUUUGAGGGAACAUGCAUAAAUCACUGAACGAAACACUUUUGUGACCACCUAGUCCCUGUAUGUUCUUUAUGUUCUGUUCAAAACUUUUCAUUUUCCUGUCGAUCUCAUCCGGCUCAACCGUCUUGGCAGGCUUUUCAUUUUCCACUAGUGACUCGUACUGAGGGGUCUGAUUGUAUGGAGACGAGACACCGAAAGCCAUAUUUGGAGAGUAGUAUUGGCCAUCAUAAGCAUGAGAUGGUGUCUCAUUGUUUGGCCUCAUCACAAGAGGUGGUGGCCGGAUUGUGUAUACUGGUGCGCCAGACACGACUAGAGGAGUGUUCCUGACCGGUGCGACUGGAGGUCGCACAUUAUAGGUACCAGGAGCAGCAUGGAGGUUGUAGUUUGGCACAUACCCUGGUGGUAGAAUGCGAUCGCUCAUUGCAUGGAGUGGUGUUUGCGUAGCCAGGGGUACGGUGGAAGUUCCCUCCGAGGGACCCCAGGGUGGAGGCUGCCCAGAAACCCAAGCUUGAUAUACAUUAGGUAAUUGCUGUCUCAAUUUUCUUAUUUCCUCCGACUCUUUCUCAACUGACUGACCCUGGGGGUCGUUGCUGACCAGCUCGAUCUCAUCAUCGUUAGCCAUUACUAUCGUUCCCUUAGAUCUGGUGAAGUAAUGAUGUGUUACCAGUUUCACUACAAACCAACCACCUUAAGCUUACUAUAUAAGAGGCAACAAACGUGUUAGGGUUAAGCAUUUUACAGAUACGAAUCACACGUAAAUAUGCUAUGCUCCUAAAAUUAUCACCAUCUCUAACAUGCUUUUGGAAGGCUUCAUGUUUCAUUCCGGCUUAUAAGGCUGCUCCUCUUUUUUCACUUUUCUUUUCACUCACCUCAUUUUGAUCCCUCAUUUUAGAGUCAUUGAAAAAUAUUUGAUCAAACCUUUUGGGGGUUGCCUACGUAUCAUGUCGCCGCAUGAAUCAGAUCAUUACGUAGUUCAGGGACAUGACAAUUUCUUUUAAUACAAGAACUAAAAACAAAAAUUACAUAAAGACGAACCUCUAAACAAGACCAGACUAGACUAAAAAACAGACGUUUUUAAGAUGAAAAGCGAAAUAACAAGACUCAACACACAAAAAGACACUUACAGACUCAAUGACAACAAAUGAACAAUAAAAAUGGACUGCCAAGUAAAAGAGACUAUGAUCUUUGCAGGAGAAUCCAACGACAUCACUGUAGUCAAGGCACUUAUUCCUGCGGCUGACCCCCA